ensembl:lincRNA
GUCCACAGUGGUCCCAGAAGCUGAAACCGUAACAGGGGCUCAGUAAUACUUGUUGAAUGAGUGCACUUCUAUCCAGUCUCCACCAGCUCCAAAGAUGUUCCCCAUGCCCGGAUGCACUACCUGUGUCAGAGGCAGCUUUGGGGAGAAUCAGACUAAGACAUAGAAACAGAAAUACUCAGGCCUGCGCUGUUAAGGAACAACUUGACAGGCAGCAGGGAGCUCCUGGCUCAACAAGAAGGCCAGGCGCAGACACCGAAGCUGUGGUCUCUUGUGUGGCUGCCCAUCCCAUCCCAUCCUGAGCCUUGCCCCGUCUGGGAGAGACUGCAGUGGGACCGGCUAUCAGCACGGUCACAAAGGGGUGGGGGGUGACUCCGCCAGAAGUUCUGGCCUUGAAGAAACGGCACGCAUGCGCAGAUGUGGCGAGGGGGCCAGAGGGCGGUGGGGGCGUCUGAGCUGCUUCAGACAGCCCUGGAGGCGCCUGGUGGGAGCGGAGCGCUGGGUCCGCGUGUCUGGGGCAGGUUCAGUGCUCCAGAUGCUGAACAGAGGGAGAACAGCUGGAGUUGGAGCGGCCAGCAGGUGCCAUCGAGGAACCUGAGAGGACGAGAGGACAGACACGGUGUUGAGAUCCUGUCACCUCCUGGCCCUAGAGCUGCCACUCCCCACCCCCGCCUCCGUGUAACUCUCCAGGAUCCAGGCAGCUGCCUCGCCCAAGGCUCAGACAGUCACCCCCAACGAUCCUUCCACUGCUCCCCCGUCAGCUGCCUGGAUUCGGGCCCAGAGCCCCCGUGUGGCUUCGGCUGCAGGGAGGAGGCCCGACGCCUUGACCACUAGAGCCGAGCCUCCGGCCGCACACCAGGCCCUGAGCAGCUCGGCAGGGCUCUCAGGCUGGGGAAAGGGCUCAUGCAGGGUCAGCGCAAUCGAUAUCUCAUCUGCAGCUCUCCGAGCGGAAGUGAUGGCUAUUGGAACACGGUAAUGGGUGUUGUCUACUGGAAGAGACUAAUCUUCCCGGCUGUGGAGGGCUCCGCAGGUGGCCCGUGCACCAGCAGGCUCCUCUGCGGCUGCACUCGCCGCUGUCACUGGGGCGGGCCAGGCGCUUUUAAAGCCACAGCGGUCUUGCUGCAGCCCUUGUCCAUCCGGGCCUGUGCCACGGAGCCUCGGUGGUGAUCCAAGCCGGUCCCCCAAGCCGGGAAGACUGAGGCCAGGGGUUUGCCUAAGCCCCAUGUUCAGCCAGACACAGGCCAGAGGAAGCUCUGCUCUCCGGACUCCCCGGCCAAUGACGUGCAGAAUGUGACAGUGCCAAGCCAUGGUCACGGGCUGGACCUGGCCUUGGGGAUUUGGGGUCCUGUGUUAGUCACCCUUGAUCCGUCUUCUGAGUCCUGGCUGGAAGGUGACCAGCCUGAUGGGCCGCUGGCCCUUUGCUGUGGGUGCUGCUCCAUGCUCGUCUCGCAAACUAAGUGAGCAGCUGCUGUGGCCUGUGCCAGGUCAUACCAGGCCCUGGGGGCACAGGGCUUGGCGAACACAAAGCCUUUAUCUCAGUGGCUUUUUCAGCUGAGAGGAGACAGGCAGACGGAGGUCGUGGGAAGUUGCUGAGCUGGCUCCGCUGUGAACUCGCUGUGUGAUCCGAGGGAGGUCCCUUAACUCCUACAGGCCUCAGUUUCCCCACAUGUAAAACAAGGGCUUGGCCUCCAUGAUCCCUGAAGUAGACAGAGGUUUUUGCUUCUAAACG